rnacentral:tRNA from 1 species
AAAAUCCGUCGACUUUAGAAAUCGGGUCCCCC